rnacentral:rRNA from 1 species
GACGAACGCUGGCGGCGUGCUUAACACAUGCAAGUCGAACGGAAAGUCCCUGCUUUUGUGGGGUGCUCGAGUGGCGAACGGGUGAGUAACACGUGAGUAACCUGCCCUUGACUUUGGGAUAACUUCAGGAAACUGGGGCUAAUACCGGAUAGGAGCUCCUGCUGCAUGGUGGGGGUUGGAAAGUUUCGGCGGUUGGGGAUGGACUCGCGGCUUAUUAGCUUGUUGGUGGGGUAUUGGCUUACCAAGGCUUUGACGGGUAGCCGGCCUGAGAGGGGGGCCGGCCACCAGGCGACUGAGAUACGGCGCAGUCGCCUACGGGAGGCAGCAGUGGGGAGUAUUACACAAUGGGCGGAAGCCUGUUGCAGAAACGUCGCGUGCGGGAUGACGGCCUGCGGGUUGUAAACCGCUUUCGCCUGUGACGAAGCGUGAGUGACGGUAAUGGGUAAAGAAGCACCGGCUAACUACGUG